UGCCUAGUUUCACCUCUAAAGCCCACAUCGAAAUGAAAAUCCAGCACUUAAUUUAGAAACCUAAUCAAUAUUGGUAAACAUUAACCGACUCUUUAACCCGGCAUAGCACAGACGGCGAAGCUCCCUCACCGCCUUGUAUCAUCCUUGGUCUUCGGCCGAUGACUAUUAAAGUACAGAGAAUGCUUCUUCUUUAGUUCACUGUUCCCCCAAUUCAAAACGACACUUCUAGUCUUCAGUUCACAUUUCUUCGUUCUUCUUCUUCUUAUUUUUGCCCUCCCCUCGUCGUCCUCGUCCUCUCAGUUCUGUUUCUCCCUCCGGGCCGGACCUUCCCUGGCUGCUGCAAGUCAUUCUUCUUGGUGCAUCCCUGAGUGUGAUUCUAGCCGCAUAUUUUUCUCACUGCACCGAUUGAAAAUACAUCAUCCCUCAAGAUUAUCAACUUAAAGAUCUAUUGAUUCUAGUUAAAAGCAAGAUUUCUGGUUGAGUUUGGACCAACACGUUUUGGGUUUGGUACUUUGGUUGGGAAUUGGUGGGUUUGCUUCAUCAAUUUCAAUUGUGAUUCUCUACAAUUGGCGAUGGAGGAAAGGUCUCCUUCUAAGGGACGCUACCUCCCGUCCCAAGCGGCCUUUUAAGGCGUACACAACCUCCGAUCCCAUUCACAGCUGUUUUGAAUUUUGCAGCCAAGGAAUUUAAAGACCCUCCCCAAACCAGCGCUAUCAUCACCAACGGUAGUCCAAGUUGAUCUAGGACUGCUGGGAGGCGGAAAUUCUCAAAAAAACGUGACUGACUCUGGCCCUGGGUUGUGUACUGGUCUGUGCUCAAUUUGCUGCCUCUGUUGGACGUCCUAGUUUGGCCCAACAGCACUAUGUCUAUUAUUGAUAGCCAUCCAUUUAUUAUCACUUGUACUAAAAUGAUGGAAAUACUUUUUUGUUUAGUUUGAAUAGCUGAACCAGAGACAUUUCCUUGAGCCUAGAUUAUAAGGAUAGGGAGGUUCGCUACUUCCUUUUGGUUUUGUUCAAAGUUUUGAGGUUAGGCGUAGGUAUAUCACUUUUCCCUACAUGAUGUUCUAAUUCUUGUGGCUAUGAGGGAAAAGGAAACCAGUUACAAAAUAAAUCAAACAUUUCAGAUUAACCUCCGAAAGCAUUUAAUAGAUCGGUGAGUUUUUAUAUUCACAUGUAUAGCUUUAUUUUCUAUGUAAAUUUUCCUGUUGCUGAUAGAUGAUGCUUGAUAAAAUAUAUCAAAACACUGUCAGUUAGUAUUAGAUUUCCUUUUUUCCCUUCUUAUUUUUGGAUUUUGUGUGGUGUGGGUGUCAGGUGGGUAGGUGGGGAAUGCCUGUCAGGGGAGCAAGAGGUUGACUUUAAUUAGUUUUAUCACCUAUUGGAUUGUCUAUGGUAUAAUAGAAUCCGGAGUUUAUCAUCUUUUCAUAGGAAGUUUUUAUCCUUUUUUCAUGUAAAAUUAAAUUUAUAAUUGGUUACAAUUGGUGUGGAUAUGGUAAUUGCAAAUUCUUCUUUUCUAAAUGUUGCUUCCCUCUCUGUUUCUCUUGGUUUUGCAAUGCCAAUGUGCAUGAUUUGAGGAGAUUUAUCAUUUGUUAGAUAAAACCUAACAUCUUAGUUUGCAGGCCCAAUGGAACAAAUAAAAAAUUUCGCUUAAAAUCAGCAAUUUUUUUUUAAAUGAUAAUUACAUAUUGUCAGGUUGACUUCCAUUGACUGUCAACAUGUUUCUUCGAGGAAAGCACUCGCAGAAUCUUCAAGAGAAUGAUGCUGUACAACGAAUGCGAAGGUAAUAACAAAUAUGGAUGGACAUCUUGAAUAUCUUUCAUUUUCCCCGUAAUUGUUUGUGGUCGAUGUACAUUUUACCCAAUAACAUAUUUGAUAGCUAUUUCAGUUCCCAUUUACUAUCCAUUACAAGUUGCUUACACCUCAUGAUCAAAUGUUGAUUUUGUUGCUUCAUCCAGCAUCAUGGUUACAGUAAAAACUGAGUUUCAUGGAUCAUUUUGCCAGAAUAUUUUGAGAACAAAGUAGAAGAGUUAAACCUUAUAUCAAUUUAAUUAUUUCAUCUGCAUUGAUAUGAUGUUUCAAUUUCACUUGACCAAGAU